rnacentral:rRNA from 1 species
AACGAACGCUGGCGGCAUGCCUAACACAUGCAAGUCGAACGAAGCCUUCGGGCUUAGUGGCGCACGGGUGCGUAACACGUGGGAAUCUGCCCUUCGGUUCGGAAUAACAGUUAGAAUGACUGCUAAUACCGGAUGAUGACGUAAGUCCAAAGAUUUAUCGCCGAAGGAUGAGCCCGCGUAGGAUUAGGUAGUUGGUAGGGUAAUGGCCUACCAAGCCGACGAUCCUUAGCUGGUCUGAGAGGAUGAUCAGCCACACUGGGACUGAGACACGGCCCAGACUCCUACGGGAGGCAGCAGCGGGGAAUAUUGGACAAUGGGCGAAAGCCUGAUCCAGCAAUGCCGCGUGAGUGAUGAAGGCCUUAGGGUUGUAAAGCUCUUUUACCAGGGAUGAUAAUGACAGUACCUGGAGAAUAAGCUCCGGCUAACUCCGUGCCAGCAGCCGCGGUAAU